rnacentral:rRNA from 1 species
UACGGGGGGGGGCAAGCGUUGUUCGGAAUUACUGGGCGUAAAGGGCGCGUAGGCGGUUUGCUAAGUUGGAUGUGAAAACUCUGGGCUUAACCCAGAGCCUGCAUCCAAAACUGGCAAACUUGAGUACUGGAGGGGAAAGCGGAAUUCCUGGUGUAGCGGUGAAAUGCGUAGAUAUCAGGAGGAACACCGGGUGGCGAAGGCGGCGUUUCUGGACAGUAACUGACGCUGAGGCGACGAAAGGCUAGGGGGAGCAAACAAGG